GGGGUUUAGUGAUGGAAAGAACAAUGUUGUAAUAAUUAUGUUGGAAACUUGAUUGUAUUUGGAAGCUAAAAAGAGACUUAAAGAAUGUGAUAUGUGAUGUAAAAUGUAAUAAGUGAAUUGAAUGCAUAUAAUAACUUAGUUGUUUAUGUUUUCGAUACUUUUCUUAUGAAAUCUAUAUUUGUAUGAUGUUCCUGGUUGGAAUCUCGCGCAUUGUAUGGA
rnacentral:lncRNA from 1 species